UCUUAUGAUACAAUGAUUCAAUCUUAUGAUUCAAUGAUUCAAUCUUAAGAUUGAAUCAUUGAAUCUUAAGAUUGAAUCAUUGAAUCAUGGCCAUU